rnacentral:rRNA from 1 species
GCGCACCAGGCGCGAAUCUUCCACAAUGGGGAAACCCUGAUGGAGCGACGCCGCGUGCGGGAUGAAGGCCCUAUGGGUUGUAUACCGCUGUUCAGUGGAAAGAACAUCCUCCGGCUGAAUAGGUCGGAGGCCUGACGUUACCACUGCAGAAAGUCCCGGCCAACUCCGUGCCAGCAGCCGCGGUAAUACGGGGGGGACGAGCGUUGUCCGGAAUCAUUGGGCGUAAAGGGCGCGUAGGCGGCGAGGAAAGUCGAAUGUGAAAUCUUGCGGCUCAACUGCAAAACUGCGUUCGAAAACUUCCUCGCUUGAGUAUGAGAGAGGUGUGCGGAAUUCCUGGUGUAGCGGUGGAAUGCGUAGAUAUCAGGAGGAACACCGGUGG